rnacentral:misc_RNA from 1 species
CUGCACGCUGCCAACCGCUCCCUCCCUCCGCCUCCACCUCCGUCGUCGGGCGCACCCUGCCCCCUCGCUCUGGACCUCCCUAAGAAGCGGAUCCACAACCUGCGUUCUGCCAUCGGGCCCGCAGUCCCCGCCGCCAAGCACAGCCGUCCUGCAGUCCCGCAAUUCCGCCGCGCCCGCAUUCACCGCGACAUCGCGACCGCAGUCCCCUCCCCGCGCCCGCAGGCAGCCGCCCCGCAGUCCCGCCCCGCCGCCAUCAAUGUCGAUCCGCCCCCACCCUCCUCCAUCGCAGCGAUGUGA